GUGGGCGUGCCGGAGUGGUUAUUGGGCAUGAUUAGAAAUCAUGUGGGCUUUGCCUGUGUAGGUUUGAAUCCAGCUGCUCACG
rfam:Ipomoea nil DNA, scaffold: scaffold2283, cultivar: Tokyo-kokei standard.